AUAGCACAAAGCAUAGCAAAUUCACAUUAUUAAAACAUAUAACAAACCAUUUAAGAAGUAUUGGUAUGUACCGGUAAACUGUUUUUUGUAUUCAUACUAUUGUUAAGAAUUUUAUGUCUCUUUACAGGAAGUGCCCCUUUUAAGUCAAAGUAUGACAUCAUCACAGAAGCUGUGAUGUGUGUCAUUGGAAAAGACAACGUAACGGUGAUGGGCACUGCUCCAUUAAACCUGGACAGCACCUAUUUGCAGCUGACAGGGUCAAGUGCUGAGAGUCAUGAGGAUGCUUUAGAGGAUGCUAUUUUGCCAAGAAAGGAGCGCACAACCACAGAGAAAAAUCCUUCAAGAUGUGUGGUCUCACAUGCUUGGUAACUAUACAUGUUUGUUCAUCGAAACUAUAUUAUGCUUGUUUGUUUUAAUGAAUAUGCC